AUUGAAACUAGUAUGAACGGUUUAAUUAACUUAAUUAGUUUGUAAUUUUAAUAAUAAAUUAAAGAUAAAGUAAGAAUUCUUUAAUAAAUUAGGGGACGAUAAGACCCUAAAAGCUUUAUGAAUGGUGUUUAGUUGGUGUUGUUAGGAAUAUUGAUUUGCUGGGGCAGCAAUUUUACUUGUAUUAAAAUAUAAUUAAAAGAUCCUUUAAAUAAAGAUUUUAUGUGUUAGUUACUUUAGGGAUAACAGUGCGAUAUAUUUGGGGAGACCGUAUCUAUAAAUAUGAUUGCAACCUCGAUGUUGAAUUAGAGUUUCUACAUGAGCAGAAUAUGUGUUAGAAAGUUUGUUCAACUUUUAAAUUUCUACAUGAUCUGAGUUCAAACCGG
rnacentral:rRNA from 1 species